rnacentral:rRNA from 1 species
UACGUAGGGUGCAAGCGUUAUCGGAAUUACUGGGCGUAAAGCGUGCGUAGACGGUUAUGUAAGUCAGAUGUGAAAGCCCCGGGCUCAACCUGGGAAUUGCAUUUGAGACUGCAUAGCUAGGGUGCGGAAGAGGGAAGCGGAAUUUCCGGUGUAGCGGUGAAAUGCGUAGAUAUCGGAAGGAACACCAGUGGCGAAAGCGG